rnacentral:sRNA from 1 species
CGCCUUUUUGCUAUGCGCAGAACUCAACGAUUCGAAUCUGCAGCAGGUUCGGGUCGAACGUAGUGAGACAACGGAGCCGCUUGCGGUGACGGCCCGCAGGGCGAGGCGAAGCCGAGUCAUCCUGCACGACCCACCA